UACGGGGGGGGGCAAGCGUUUGUUCGGAAUUACUGGGCGUAAAGGGCUCGUAGGCGGCCAACUAAGUCAGACGUGAAAUCCCCAGGCUCAACCUGGGAACUGCGUCUGAUACUGGAUGGCUUGAAUCCGGGAGAGGGAUGCAGAAUUCCAGGUGUAGCGGUGAAAUGCGUAGAUAUCUGGAGGAAUACCGGUGGCGAAGGCGACAUCCUGGACCGGUAUUGACGCUGAGGCGCGAAAGCCAGGGGAGCAAACGGG
rnacentral:rRNA from 1 species